GAUGAACGCUGGCGGCGUGCUUAACACAUGCAAGUCGAACGGUGAAGCAGGAGCUUGCUCUUGUGGAUCAGUGGCGAACGGGUGAGUAACACGUGAGCAACCUGCCCCUGACUCUGGGAUAAGCGCUGGAAACGGCGUCUAAUACUGGAUAUGUGAUGUGACCGCAUGGUCUGCAUCUGGAAAGAAUUUCGGUUGGGGAUGGGCUCGCGGCCUAUCAGCUUGUUGGUGAGGUAAUGGCUCACCAAGGCGUCGACGGGUAGCCGGCCUGAGAGGGUGACCGGCCACACUGGGACUGAGACACGGCCCAGACUCCUACGGGAGGCAGCAGUAGGGAAUCUUCCGCAAUGGACGAAAGUCUGACGGAGCAACGCCGCGUGAGCGAAGAAGGCCUUCGGGUCGUAAACCGCUUUCAGCAGGGAUGAAACUGACAGUACCCGCAGAAGAAGCCCCGGCUAACUACGUGCCAGCCGCCGCCGUAA
rnacentral:rRNA from 1 species